rnacentral:lncRNA from 1 species
UUUCAAAUGAUUUAAGUAACUUCCACUAUACAUCGGAAAACUGGAAAUAUGUCUAUGCUUAUAUGAUUGGCUUACAAUUCCAUGCAUUAUUUGAUUACAUUGUUUGAUACUCCAUCCAGCUCUAACUCUUCUAUAUAACAAGACAUAUCUUGUACCACUCUUCACAUCUUCCAAUUGAUGGCAGAAAAAUGACUAUCAUGGCAACUAUGCCACCGCUUCAUAUCCAAACGCAAGAUGAAAUGAAUAAAAGAUGGGAACUACCUGUCAGUAUCUCUCUUACUCCCAAGAUUAUGCUUCUCUCUCUUUCCUUCCCUUCUCCCGAUUCUUUUAAUCAAAUGAACAACAUGAAGGAGAAAAUCAACCAAGCAGAACAGAAAAGAGAUAUAAAAUAUAAGAACAUGAGUAAACCUUAUCUCACUUCAAUACAAAUCAGGGAUGAUUGUGGGCACCCAGCCGGUGAUUAUGUAAAAUUACCUAGAAGAUUCAGCUCUGAUGGUUACACAAGCAAGUAUAUUGUCUGAAUAUAAUAGUUCUAGGGGCAAACUAUUAGAUGCCCCUGAGGCACUGUAAGGCCUUGCAGUGUUAGCUUGAACAACCCUACAGUAUGGACAUGUAAAUCAGGUAUCAACAUGAAAACCUGGAGGAAGAUUCUAUAUAUUUUUGUAGGUGAAAUGAAUUUCGGUUAGUAGUUGUCGCAAGUAUAUAUGUAUUGAAAGAUUCUACAUACAGUAUGAUAUAUCAAUAGUAAAAGUACAUAUUGUAACAUUGUACAAAUAGUUAGAUAUUUGCUCAAGAUAACACAUCGAUUCACAAAACCAAGUCCCCAAAAGUGAGAUCAUUCAUCUAUAUAUUUGCACGGCAACACAAUAUAGUCAGACAUAUGGAAAACUUAUUUGCAUGUCAAAAUCAUACUAUUAGAAUCCAUUAACCUUUAGAAGUAUAUACUUGUUUUAUCUAAUUCAAUCAUCAAAAGCAUAUUGGUGUUCUUAACAUCUCUUUGGCUAUUCUCUUCUCCUUCCAGAUGAUCUGUUGAGAUCCUUUUUUAGAAGCACAUUCAGUAGAACAAAAAAAUACUUUGAAGGAGAACCAUAUUUUGAUAAAGAAAAACAGAAAAAAAAAUCAGUACAGGUAAGGUUUAGUAGCUCCAGAUUUUUCAAGUUAUUUAUGCAACUGAGAAAGACCACAAAAUAUAACCAGGACUGAACAAUUGCACAAGGAAAAGAGUAGCGAGUGUCGAGUAAGUAAAACUUGGCACAUGAUCUAGGUUACUAACUAAUGAAGAGAUUGAAAGGAAGUAUCGCUACAUGCAUAUAUAAUGAACAAUACAGUUAAGACAUGUCAGAAAGCACAGGUCAGUGAGUUUGAACAUUGUUAUUUUUGUAACUAUAAAAACUAAGAAUAAAGACUGGAAUCAUUUGUAAUGAGUAAGAAGCCAAUCCUGGAAUUUUAGAAGAUGUACACAAAAACAAUUAAAAUCAAAGUUCAAUGCAAAACAGAAAGAUGUCCAUUAAGAGACGUACGCCUGUUCCAAGUUCCUUAUGGUCACAUUUACCACACCAUCGAUGUCAAUAAGCUCAUACGCAGCUUUGGAAUCAGGCCCCUGGAUUAUAAGAGAACAUACAUUUGACACUUCAGUAAAAUGAUGCUUCAUGAAAAGCUACAUGCAUAUAUACCAGUCUGAACAUGACACCUCCAGAUUGCAGAAGUUUGUGACCUCUUGAGUUACAAAUGUCCAAGCACAAGGAUGAAGAAGAUAUAAAGGGAAAGAAGGAAAAAAUACACCAAGCUGCAUCUGCGUGACUACUAUAGCAAUUAGCAAUGUCAUCAUGCAUCAGCAAGUCUUCUGAAAACCUCUCCGAUUUUAGUAGGUCAUUACAGCCCGGUUUCAUGAAAUGUCUCCAAAGUGGCAAAGCUAGGAGAUAGCACAUUUGUAGUGAGAAAAUCAUUACUGUAACAAUCUUUCAAAAUGCAUGCUUCAGUUCAGAGUAGUUGUUUAAAGAAACCAAACAACAACCCCAUUAAAAAAUGCCAACUAUACAAAUUAAGUAACAGACUGAUUGCGGGCUUAAGAAUUCUCGGAGGUCAAAAUUGAUAAAACAGAAUUUAGCUCAAAUUACUAUUUUAGAAUAGAUAUGUGACACAAGAACUCCAUAGGCUGACCCAUGUCUGUGACCCUGCGUACACCUCUAUCACACUUUGUGUGAUCCCACAGCUCAUCAACAAAUUACCAACUAAGUGUGCUUCUGACAUUAUUUAUUUGAGCAUUUAUUGAUUUUGCAUUUAAUCCCUUGUUGGGAGACCCAUCUGCUUCCGACAUUGCAUGCGGGUAUAGUCACUCUAGCUACAGUUAUGAGCUAGAAACCAUCAAUUGACCCAAGUAACAAUCCAAUUCACAGAUGAACUCUGAAAUACCAAUCCAUUUUAUUAAGAUUUGCAUGCUACACCUCUGAGAAUUUCAGCCAAAAAAAGUUAAAAUAUUAGUCACAAUGUAUGAAUAGUAAGAUACUUGAUAGACUGUCAUCUAUCUGUUUGCCUAGAAACGAACAAACAAACAUCACUCCAGAUCAGAGUAGCAAGCCAAACAUAAUAUAGAUUAUAAGCAGACGGAAAUUAUAUAAAUAAGUUAGAGUGCCUAUAGAUGUAUAGCUCUAGAACACCAGCUAGCAUUAGAGCAAGGUAACUAUCAUGUGGUAAUCAACGCAUACAUGCAACAGUGAUACUGUUUUGGCAGACCUAUGUGUACAACUUGUACCUCAAAGUUGUUCCUACACUACUGUAAGACUCAUCAUUUGUAACUUUGUUGCUGAAGUACCAAUGACGCAAACUCUUUGCUCAAGUCAUCAAAAUCAUUAGUGGUAAAAAUAUAAUAAACAUGUACUUAUACAUAUCAGACAAACAAAUAAAGCACCUGGCUUGUUUUCCUCAUAAAAAAUAUCAUCCAUGCCCUGCAACAAUCUCACAUUCUGCAGCACUUGAAUAAAUUCAGCAUCACACAGGAUUCCUUAUAAAAUUUGGAUCCACAAUAGGCAGAAAAUAUACAAACGCAUAACAAAGAUACAUAAUGUAAUACACAACAAUGGAAACAGAUUACAUAUUGUAAAAUUAGGUAAAAAGAAACUACAUCCUGUAGUCCGUGAACAAUUGAAGAAACUUGAUACAUGUAAACUCUCAAGUGUUGAAGUAAAUAUGAAAAUGUGACAAAAAUACCUCAGAUGCUGCAAAUGCUGAUGAGUGGAAAUUUUCUAAUCCUGUAGAAAUAAAGUAUACGUUGUUAGGGAGGAGGCGGCAAAAAGAAGAUAUAAAAUAUUCUUAGUGAGAUUGCCUAAAUUUCAUAUAUUAGUGGAUCAUUGAAAACAUGUUCAGAAGGUUCAGAAGCUGUUGCGUAGUAAUUUUCUUGCCACUUGAUGAAUGAGUCAUGGUAGCUUGGGAAUGUGCAGAUUUGUGAGAGCAUUGAAAAGGUAGUUCGAGUGACAGAGUAUAUUUUGUGAACCAUUUUGGGAAUAUGCAGAAUUCCUAGAGCAUUGUGUUGGAUCAUGAUAAUUCCCAUUUUAACUACGGCAAUUGUUUGUUGUGUGGAAGGAUCAUGUACUAAAAUAAUGAGAAUCAGUUCACAUUGAAUCGUUGGGAAAAGUAUAGUGAAAGCGCUGGAAUAUCAGGAGCAGAACAUGAUGCACUAAAUGUGACUAAAUGCUCUUGUGUAUGGAACAUAAACUUGAUCAUGUACUGGGCAAUCCCAUUCUUGAUACUACCUCACUGUUCACAAUGCUUUUGUAUCAAGUCUUACUGGUGAAGUUGCUCAAUCCCAUAACAUUGGUCACCUACAUGGGAGUUCUAAUAUCCCUUUGGUUCAAACACAAACACUGGUGAAGUUGCUCAAUCCCAUAACAUUGGUCACCUACAUGGGAGUUCUAAUAUCCCUUUGGUUCAAACACAAACACCGGGAAAUGUGAAACAGAGCUGCAUGUAAGGUGCUAAGAGGGCCAAAAUUUCGAACGCAAAAUGGUAGGUAGUGUGUAGUCUGCAGAUUAGGAAUAGUUGAGCUUCAGUGUACCGGCGGCGAGGAUGGUGGAGCCGGUGGAGAUGUUGACGGUGCCUAUGCCAUCACCGCCGGUACCGACAAUGUCGACGGCGUCGUGCAGGCCCUCGACACGGACGCAGUUUCUCAUCAUGGCCUUAGCCAGCCCGACGAUCUGAAGAACGGCUUGACAAAACUCGAAAUUAGCGGCCGCAGAAAUCUCUCUCCAUUUCUGCUCAUUCAGAAAUCACGAAUCACGGGAGGACGCGCACGCACCUCUUCAUAGGUCUCGCCCUUGGCCCGGAGCAGCACGAGGAAGGCGGCGAUCUGCUGCGCCCCGUUCUUCUCGUUGAGCGGCAGCUGCAGCGUCGCCUCCACCUUGUCCUCCGAGAAGUCGGCCCCGUCGAUCAGCUGCUCCAGCACCUGGCAUCGUCGCGGCCACAAGACAGGAGAUUGAAAGGAAACCCGGUCAGUCAAUCACCGGACGGAACAAAUAGAGGGGAUGCGGGAGGCAUUGCGGCUUGUGCGCACCUGUUCAAAUGUGGCGGUCCCCGGGGAGGCGGCGGGAGCCGGCGCGGCGGCGGGCUACACGGCGACGUGGGCCGGAGGGAGGCACCGGGCGGGGCCGAUGGGCCACGCAGUGCUGGGGCGACGGAGGAGGGGCGAGGGAUUUGGGGGAGCAGAGCUUGAGCGAGGCGGCCGCCAUUAGAUGCAUUCAGGGGACAUGCGUGGGUUUGGUGGGAAGGGAGAUCCCGGUGGUGGCAGAAGAGGGAGGCACCGGCGUCAGGCAUUUUUAUAUGCGGCCGGCGCCAGGCUUGGAUUUUUGUCACUCCAGGGGAGGCCCGACGUCUGCCUUGUGAUCUUGUCCGUCUGCAGCAGCAGAGGAGGACCUCCCGCGUUCUUGGGGCAGCAGAGGAGGACCAGCAGGGGCGCUCGCAUUUGGCCAUCGGGAAGCAGAAGAGGACCACCGGACCAGGGGCGGCAAACGGCGCGGAAGGCGGCGGGAGGAAUCGGCAUGCGACAGCCCACCCGUGUUGUGGCAUCCAUUGGGAGGAGGAGCAUGGUCGAGAGGUCGUGCGGGCGUGGGCGAUAGGUCGUGUGGUGUGGUGUGGGCGUGCGUUGUUGGCAGCGGUUUUUUUUUUCAAACGGCUGGCAGGGUUAGCGAUCGAUGAAUUAGUGGCUUAAGCCAUGGCUUGGAGGGUUAAACAUCAGAGGAUUAGAGGCCAUUAGAUCUUGUUAAUGGAUGGAUGUGAUUAUUUGGAUCUGCCCCUCUCUUCUUUUUAUAAGGGUAGUAGAUGAAUAACAUGAAGGAGAAAAUCAACCAAGUAGAACAGAAAAGAGAUAUAAAAUAUAAGAACAUGAGUAAACCUUAUGUCACUUCAAUACAAAUCAGGGAUGAUUGUGGGCACCCAGCCGGUGAUUAUGUAAAAUUACCUAGAAGAUUCAGCUCUGAUGGUUCCACAAGCAAGUAUAUUGUCUGAAUAUAAUAGUUCUAGGGGCAAACCUAAAAACUUUAUUAGAUGCCCCUGAGGCACUGUAAGGCCUUGCAGUGUUAGCUCGAACAGCCCAACAGUAUGGAC